CUGCUAUUGGAGUUCGACUAAGCCAUGCGAGUCUAUGGACUUCGGUCCAUGGCGGACGGCUCAGUAACACAGUGGUUAACCUACCCUCGGGUGGGGGAUAACCUCGGGAAACUGAGGAUAAUACCCCAUAGGAGAAGAGGUCUGGAAUGAUCCUUCUCUGAAAACAUACGUGCCCGAGGAUGGGGCUGCGUCUGAUUAGGUAGUUGGUGNGGUAAUGNCCCACCAAGCCUACGAUCAGUACGGGCCUUGAGAGAGGCAGCCCGGAGAUGGGGACUGAGACACGGCCCCAGGCCCUACGGGGCGCAGCAGGCGCGAAACCUCCGCAAUGCACGAAAGUGCGACGGGGGGACCCCAAGUGCUUACGCACUGCGUAGGCUUUUCUAAAGUGUAAAAAGCUUUAGGAAUAAGGGCU
rnacentral:rRNA from 1 species